rnacentral:rRNA from 1 species
UACGUAGGGUGCAAGCGUUAAUCGGAAUUACUGGGCGUAAAGCGUGCGCAGGCGGUUUUGUAAGUCUGUCGUGAAAUCCCCGGGCUUAACCUGGGAAUUGCAUUUGUGACUGCCCGGCUAGAGUGUGUCAGAGGGGGGUAGAAUUCCGACGUGUAGCAGUGAAAUGCGUAGAGAUGUGGAGGAAUACCGAUGGCGAAGGCAGCCCCCUGGGAUAACACUGACGCUCAUGCACGAAAGCGUGGGGAGCAAACAGG